rnacentral:misc_RNA from 1 species
GAAAUGCGAUAAGUAAUGUGAAUUGCAGAAUUCAGUGAAUCAUCGAAUCUUUGAACGCACCUUGCGCUCCUUGGUAUUCCUUGGAGCAUGCCUGUUUGAGUAUCAUGAAAUCUUCAAAGUAAAUCUUUUGUUAACUCAAUUGGUUUCUACUUUGGUAUUGGAGGUCUUUGCAGCUUCACACCUGCUCCUCUUUGUUCAUUAGCUGGAUCUCAGUGUUAUGCUUGGUUCCACUCGGCGUGAUAAGUUAUCUAUCGCUGAAGACACUGUAAAAGGUGGCCAAGGUAAAUGCAGAUGAACCGCUUCUAAUAGUCCAUUGACUUGGACAAUACUUUUAUGAUCUGAUCUCAAAUCAGGUAGGACUACCCGCUGAACUUAAGC